ensembl:lncRNA CHL1-AS2 CHL1 antisense RNA 2
CGAGGGACCCUGACCGCGCCCCGCUUCCUUUCCAUAACGAGUGGACCCCUCCCGGAGCACCUUCAGCCCUUCCUCCACGGGAGACCCCCCCAGCGCCGGCACGAGAGAUGCCAGCGGACCCCCACCCCUGACACACCUGCGCCGCCUCCGAAACGCGAUCUGUCCGGCGCCUCCCCUCGGGCGCCUUCUCCCCCGAGCCGGCCGGGAGCCGGGACGGGGGCGCGCAGGGUCCGGUCGCCAAUCUGCUUUUCUCCCAUUGCUGCGUCUUAGAGGGGUGUGGUGCCAUGAUACCACUUUUGAAAAUCCUGUUGAAUGCAAGUCCUCUUUGUUGCUCAUUGAACAAUGAGGAUAUUUAGCUCCCCUCAGAGCUACCCUCAGAGUUGGAUGAGCUAUCCUCAGAGUUGGAUGCCACCACCGGGAGCAGCAAAAGCGAAGGCAACUCAUGAUUCUGCCUCAGAAGCAAUCGAAUAAAAUAUUUUGAAAAUGAA